rnacentral:ncRNA from 1 species
GUGGAUUUGAUGAAGAGACCAAGUACAUGAAGCAAAAAGUGUACAGAGAGUUGACCAAGAGCUGAAAGUCAACCACAAUUGCUUUGUGGAAUAUCCUCUCAGAGAAGCGCGACUGAACAUUUUAGUAAGUCAAGCCGGGUUAGCUCCGUUACAGCUUUAAAGAGCCAUUGUUUGUUAGCUAGCACAAUGGAAACUGGGUGGUACCGCGAGUAACUCGUCCCUUUU